UACGAAGGGGGCUAGCGUUGCUCGGAAUCACUGGGCGUAAAGCGCACGUAGGCGGCUUUGUAAGUUAGAGGUGAAAGCCUGGUGCUCAACACCAGAAUUGCCUUUAAGACUGCAUCGCUUGAACGUCGGAGAGGUGGAGUGGAAUUCCGAGUGUAGAGGUGAAAUUCGUAGAUAUUCGGAAGAACACCAGUGGCGAAGGCGGCUCACUGGACGACUGUUGACGCUGAGGUGCGAAAGCGUGGGGAGCAAACAGG
rnacentral:rRNA from 1 species